GUCCAGAUCGUUUAGUGGUUAGGACAUUGCGUUGUGGCCGCAAUAACCCAGGUUCGAAUCCUGGUCUGGACA
rnacentral:tRNA from 1 species